rnacentral:rRNA from 1 species
CGAACGACACAGUGGCAGACGGGUGAGUAACGCGUGGGAACGUGCCCUUCACUACGGAAUAGCUCCGGGAAACUGGUGGUAAUACCGUAUACGCCCUUCGGGGGAAAGAUUUAUCGGUGAAGGAUCGGCCCGCGUUAGAUUAGGUAGUUGGUGGGGUAAAAGCCUACCAAGCCUACGAUCUAUAGCUGGUCUGAGAGGAUGAUCAGCCACACUGGGACUGAGACACGGACCAGACUCCUACGGGAGGCAGCAGUGGGGAAUCUUGCACAAUGGGCGAAAGCCUGAUGCAGCCAUGCCGCGUGGAUGAUGAAGGCCCUAGGGUUGUAAAAUCCUUUCGCCAGGGACGAUAAUGACGGUACCUGGUAAAGAAGCCCCGGCUAACUUCGUGCCAGCAGCCGCGGUAAUACGAAGGGGGCUAGCGUUGUUCGGAAUUACUGGGCGUAAAGCGCGCGUAGGCGGACUUUUAAGCCAGAUGUGAAGUCCCGGGGCUCAACCCUCGGAACUGCAUUUGGAACUGGAAGUCUAGAGUCCGGGAGAGGUUCGUGGAAUACCGAGUGUAGAGGUGAAAUUCGUAGAUAUUCGGUGGAACACCAGUGGCGAAGGCGACGAACUGGACCGGUACUGACGCUGAGGUGCGAAAGUGUGGGGAGCAAACAGGAUUAGAUACCCUGGUAGUCCACACCGUAAACGAUGAGAGCUAGUUGUUGUCAGGCAUGCCUGGCAGUGACGCAGCUAACGCAUUAAGCUCUCCGCCUGGGGAGUACGGCCGCAAGGUUAAAACUCAAAGAAAUUGACGGGGGCCCGCACAAGCGGUGGAGCAUGUGGUUUAAUUCGAAGCAACGCGCAGAACCUUACCUACGUUUGACAUGCCCGGUUUGGUUGGUGGAGACACCUUCCUUCCUUCGGGGCCGGUGCACAGGUGCUGCAUGGCUGUCGUCAGCU